ACAGGUGCACACAGGUGUACUUCCCCCAAACUACCCAACCUCAACACCAGACACACACCUAACUGGAGGGGGACACAGGUGUACUUCCCCCAAACAACCCAACCUCAACACCAGACACACACCUAACUGGAGGGGGACACAGGUGGACACAGGUGGACUUCCCCCAAACAACCCAACCUCAACACCAGACACACACCUAACUGGAGGGGGACACAGGUGGACUUCCCCCAAACAUCCCAACCUCAACACCAGACACACACCUAACUGGAGGGGGACACAGGUGGACACAGGUGGACUUCCCCCAAACAACCCAACCUCAACACCAGACACACAUCUAACUGGAGGGGGACACAGGUGGACUUCCCCCAAACAACCCAACCUCAACACCAGACACACAUCUAACUGGAGGGGGACACAGGUGGACUUCCCCCAAACAACCCAACCUCAACACCAGACACACAUCUAACUGGAGGGGGACACAGGUGGACACAGGUGGACUUCCCCCAAACAUCCCAACCUCAACACCAGACACACACCUAACUGGAGGGGGACACAGGUGGACUUCCCCCAAACAACCCAACCUCAACACCAGACACACACCUAACUGGAGGGGGACACAGGUGGACACAGGUGGACACAGGUGGACUUCCCCCAAACA